rnacentral:rRNA from 1 species
GAUGAACGCUAGCUACAGGCUUAACACAUGCAAGUCGAGGGGAAACGAUAUUGGAAGCUUGCUUCCGAUAGGCGUCGACCGGCGCACGGGUGAGUAACGCGUAUCCAACCUGCCCAUCACUUGGGGAUAACCUUGCGAAAGUAAGACUAAUACCCAAUGACGUCUCUAGAAGACAUCUGAAGGAGAUUAAAGAUUUAUCGGUGAUGGAUGGGGAUGCGUCUGAUUAGCUUGUUGGCGGGGUAACGGCCCACCAAGGCGACGAUCAGUAGGGGUUCUGAGAGGAAGGUCCCCCACAUUGGAACUGAGACACGGUCCAAACUCCUACGGGAGGCAGCAGUGAGGAAUAUUGGUCAAUGGGGCGAGAGCCUGAACCAGCCAAGUAGCGUGCAGGAUGACGGCCCUAUGGGUUGUAAACUGCUUUUAUAAGGGAAUAAAGUGGGAGUCGUGACUCUUUUUGCAUGUACCUUAUGAAUAAGGACCGGCUAAUUCCGUGCCAGCAGCCG